rnacentral:rRNA from 1 species
AUUGAACGCUGGCGGCAUGCCUUACACAUGCAAGUCGAACGGUAACGCGGGGCAACCUGGCGACGAGUGGCGAACGGGUGAGUAAUGCAUCGGAACGUGACUGGUAGUGGGGGAUAACUGCUCGAAAGAGCAGCUAAUACCGCAUACGACCUGAGGGCGAAAGGGGGGGAUCGCAAGACCUCUCGCUAUCAGAGCGGCCGAUGUCGGAUUAGCUAGUUGGUGGGGUAAAAGCCCACCAAGGCGACGAUCCGUAGCUGGUCUGAGAGGACGGCCAGCCACACUGGGACUGAGACACGGCCCAGACUCCUACGGGAGGCAGCAGUGGGGAAUUUUGGACAAUGGACGCAAGUCUGAUCCAGCCAUGCCGCGUGCGGGAAGAAGGCCUUCGGGUUGUAAACCGCUUUUGUCAGGGAAGAAACGCUCUGGGUUAAUACCUCGGGGUAAUGACGGUACCUGAAGAAUAAGCACCGGCUAACUACGUGCCAGCAGCCGCGGUAAGAC